UUUUAUCUUCGGAUAGAUAGUAAACUGGCGAACGGGUGAGUAACGCGUAAAUAACUUGCCUCGGAGAUUGGGACAACAUUGGGAAACCAGUGCUAAUACCAAAUAAUGCAGCGGGCCCUUCGGGGUACAGUUGUUAAAGUAGGCUUCGGCUUACACUUUGAGAUAGAUUUGCGUCCGAUUAGUUAGUUGGUAGGGUAAUAGCCUACCAAGACCGAGAUCGGUAGCUGGUCUGAGAGGAUGAUCAGCCACACUGGAAUUGAGAUACGGUCCAGACUCCUACGGGAGGCAGCAGUGAGGAAUUUUGCACAAUGGGCGAAAGCCUGAUGCAGCAACACCGCGUGAUUGAUGAAGUUUUUAGGAAUGUAAAAAUCUGUCGUAAGUGAAGAAAUGUUUCGGAUGUUAAUACCAUCUGUCAUUGACGGUAACUUACAAGAAAGGACCGGCUAACUUCGUGCCAGCAGCCGCGGUAAUACGAGGGGUCCUAGCGUUGUCCGGAUUUACUGGGCGUAAAGGGUACGUAGGCGUUUUAAUAAGUUAUAUG
rnacentral:rRNA from 1 species